rnacentral:lncRNA from 1 species
CAAACCAAGGGCUUCCUUUAAUAGCUAUAAGUUUUACAUCACCGAGAAACAAAUUCUACAAUAAUGUUGGUAAGCAUCAUAUUCACAUGCCACAGCCAAAAAGAGCAAGCACAUAGUAUUCUAAGAAUGGCCCAUAAAACUAAGCGAUGUAGCAGAGGAAGGUGGCAAACCUUAAUCACAGCACGACAUCCGCUGGCUACUGAUGGAUUGAACAAUACCUGGAAGAAGAACAUAGCAAUACACACAUCAAAAAGAGGCCAAGACAUGGACUGGAUCAAAUGCAUAUCCUACCGGAAAAGAAACAAUAGUUGGAGGUUCGCCAUCAUGGAAGGAGGUGGAUAACAACUUCUUGUUAGAUUUUAUUGGCCACCGCAGAAAUAAAUAGAAAUCGUAACAUCCCCAUGAUUGAUAACAGGAAAUAAUAACUUAC